rnacentral:rRNA from 1 species
AGCGAACGCUGGCGGCAGGCCUAACACAUGCAAGUCGAACGGACCCUUCGGGGUUAGUGGCGGACGGGUGAGUAACACGUGGGAACGUGCCUUUAGGUUCGGAAUAGCUCCUGGAAACGGGUGGUAAUGCCGAAUGUGCCCUUCGGGGGAAAGAUUUAUCGCCUUUAGAGCGGCCCACGUCUGAUUAGCUAGUUGGUGAGGUAACGGCUCACCAAGGCGACGAUCAGUAGCUGGUCUGAGAGGAUGACCAGCCACACUGGGACUGAGACACGGCCCAGACUCCUACGGGAGGCAGCAGUGGGGAAUCUUGCGCAAUGGGCGAAAGCCUGACGCAGCCAUGCCGCGUGAAUGAUGAAGGUCUUAGGAUUGUAAAAUUCUUUCAACGGGGACGAUAAUGACGGUACCCGGAGAAGAAGCCCCGGCUAACUUCGUG